UGAGAGGUGCAGGUAAGAGCUUUGAUUCAUCUCCUCGAUGACGUGAAUUCAGCUCACAGGCGGUGAUCAGCAUGUGUUUCGUUCACAGCGGAGCCGGAGACUCCUGCCAGAGUCUGGACUGGGUCCUGGCUGCCUUACCUCUCCAUCUGCGCUAGCGCUGCUCUUCUAGUUACCUCACUCAUCUUCUUUACCCUCCUCUGUUCCAGUGACUCCAAUCGAAUAUGGACCUGCAAGUGUGCAAAGAGAGAGGAAACGUGCACCAGCCGAUUCUGCCCCGUGUGGAGAACCAGCACAUCUUCUGACCAGCGUGUCUCUGUCCUGAAUGACAUCUACCAUCUAAACAGUGCAAACACGCCGCCGGCGCCAUGUCCUCCUGCUUCUACCCCGACCCCAGCGGGGACUCCAGGGUCACAUGAUGCGGUCUACGCCGCCAUCCACCACGGACAGCGUGGGACACCUGCCGGGACACGGGAGGCCACGCCCAACCGGGGCAAUAGCUCAGAGUACGCCGGCGUCAGGGUGCCCUGAACGUCUGGGGGUUCCCACAAAGAUUCAGAUGAUGAAGAGACUUAGGGUGCUUUCA